rnacentral:rRNA from 1 species
UACGGAGAGUGCAAGCAUUAAUCGGAAUUAUUGGGCGUAAAGGGCGCGUAGGCGGAGAGAAAAGUCAGAUGUGAAAUUCCAAAGCUCAACUUUGGAGCUGCAUUUGAAACUAUCGUUCUAGAGGAUUGACGGAGAAAACGGAAUUCCACGUGUAGCGGUGAAAUGCGUAGAGAUGUGGAAGAACACCUGUGGCGAAAGCGGUUUUCUAGUUUAUUUCCUGACGCUGAGGCGCGAGAGCAAGGGGAGCAAACAGG